rnacentral:rRNA from 1 species
UACAGAGACUGCAAGCGUUAUUCGGAUUCACUGGGCGUAAAGGGUGCGCAGGCGGCCGGGUGUGUCAGAUGUGAAAUCCCGAGGCUCAACCUCGGAACUGCGUCUGAAACUACUCGGCUAGAGUACUGGAGAGGGUAACGGAAUUCACGGUGUAGCAGUGAAAUGCGUAGAUAUCGUGAGGAACACCAGAGGCGAAGGCGGUUACCUGGACAAUUGCUGACGCUCAGGCACGAAAGCGUGGGGAGCAAAAGGG